rnacentral:rRNA from 1 species
AUGAACGCUGGCGGCGUGCCUAAUCCAUGCCAGUCGAGCGAACAGACGAGGAGCUUGCUCCUCUGAUGUUAGCGGCGGACGGGUGAGUAACACGUGGAUAACCUACCUAUAAGACUGGGAUAACUUCGGGAAACCGGAGCUAAUACCGGAUAACAUGUUGAACCGCAUGGUUCAACAGUGAAAGACGGUCUUGCUGUCACUUAUAGAUGGAUCCGCGCCGCAUUAGCUAGUUGGUAAGGUAACGGCUUACCAAGGCAACGAUGCGUAGCCGACCUGAGAGGGUGAUCGGCCACACUGGAACUGAGACACGGUCCAGACUCCUACGGGAGGCAGCAGUAGGGAAUCUUCCGCAAUGGGCGAAAGCCUGACGGAGCAACGCCGCGUGAGUGAAGAAGGUCUUCGGAUCGUAAAACUCUGUUAUUAGGGAAGAACAAAUGUGUAAGUAACUAUGCACGUCUUGACGGUACCUAAUCAGAAAGCCACGGCUAACUACGUG